CUUUCACGCGCACAUGACUGAAUCCUUACUUUACUCGUACCUCUCGUUCUCCUUCGGCGGGGCAGCCUGCCGUUGGAACAGCCAAAACUCUUUUUUUUUUGCAUCCAGCAUUACCUGUUCUGAUACAAACAAUCGUUACAACUUUCAACAAUGGAUCUCUUGGCUCUGGCAUCGAUGAAGAACGCAGCGAAAUGCGAUAAGUAGUGUGAAUUGCAGAAUUCAGUGAAUCAUCGAAUCUUUGAACGCACAUUGCGCCCCUUGGUAUUCCAUGGGGCAUGCCUGUUCGAGCGUCAUCUACACCCUCAAGCUCUGCUUGGUGUUGGGCGUCUUUGUCCCGCCUCCGCGCGCGGACUCGCCCCAAAUUCAUUGGCAGCGGUCCUUGCCUCCUCUCGCGCAGCACAUUGCGCUUCUCGAGGUGUUGCGGCCCGCGUCCAGAAAGCAAUCGUUACCGUCUUUGACCUCGGAUCA
rnacentral:rRNA from 1 species